rnacentral:rRNA from 1 species
GACGAACGCUGGCGGCGUGCUUAACACAUGCAAGUCGAACGGAAAGGCCCUGCUUUUGUGGGGUGCUCGAGUGGCGAACGGGUGAGUAACACGUGAGUAACCUGCCCUUGACUUUGUGAUAACUUCAGGAAACUGGGGCUAAUACCGGAUCGGAGCUCCGGCUGCAUGGGGGGGGUUGGAAAGUUUCGGCGGUUGGGGAUGGACUCGCGGCUUAUCAGCUUGUUGGUGGGGUAGGGGCUUACCAAGGCUUUGACGGGUAGCCGGCCUGAGGGGGUGAACGGCCACAUUGGGACUGAGAUACGGCCCAGACUCCUACGGGAGGCAGCAGUGGGGAAUAUUGCACAAUGGGCGGAAGCCUGAUGCAGCAACGCCGCGUGCGGGAUGACGGCCUUCGGGUUGUAAACCGCUUUCGACUGUGACGAAGCGUGAGUGACGGUAAUGGGUAAAGAAGCACCGGCUAACUACGUG